AAUCUGCAUUUUCUGUUCUAUUUAUCUGAAGUCCAUCAUCUAGGGAUGCCAGUGGGUACUUUUGUGACCCAACAAAGGCUAUUGGCAGAGUAGCCUGCCACCCUCUGUGUAGCUGUAAAGGAUGAAGGUGGAGCCCUGUAGAAAUACUAUUCCCAAGAUCUUUUGACAUCUGGAUAACCCUCCCCCUACCAUAUCUAAAUUGGUUCAAGACCUUGGCAAUCUGCAUCACUGGACCCAAAGUGGGUCGCAGUCCAUCAUCGAAGGUAUGAAAUCAAGCAGGAACUGAAGCAGACACCAUGGAGGAAAUUCUGCUUCCCAACUCAGUUUCCAGCUUACUAUCUGCUGGCUUUCUGAUACAGGCCAGGUCUACCUGGUUAGGGAUGCUGCUACUCAGAGUGAGCUAAGCCCUUCCAUAUCAACUAUCAGUUAGGACCAUUCCGAAAAGACAGGCUAACAGGGCAAUUAGAUUGAAGCAAGUCUCCAACUGAGGUCAUUAUCUAGGUGACUCUAGAUUGCGUACAGUUAAAAAUCAAGUCCAAUAAACCUGUUUAGUACAGCAAUGUUGACAAUAGCCAAGCUAUGGAAGCCUGUGUUUUAUAUUCAAAAUGAAUAAAAGACCUCAAAUAGCUAAAA